rnacentral:rRNA from 1 species
UACGGUGGGGGCAAGCGUUGUUCGGAAUUACUGGGCGUAAAGGGCUCGUAGGCGGCUAACUAAGUCAGACGUGAAAUCCCCAGGCUCAACCUGGGAACUGCGUCUGAUACUGGAUGGCUUGAAUUCGGGAGAGGGAUGCAGAAUUCCAGGUGUAGCGGUGAAAUGCGUAGAUAUCUGGAGGAAUACCGGUGGCGAAGGCGGCAUCCUGGACCGACAUUGACGCUGAUGAGCGAAAGCUAGGGGAGCAAACGGG